GGAGAGAUGCCAGAGUGGUUGAAUGGGGCGGUCUCGAAAACCGUUGUACCGAAAGGUACCGUAGGUUCGAAUCCUACUCUCUCCGCCA
rnacentral:tRNA from 1 species